CUAAACUACUAAAAUUACAUAUACUAAAAUUGGAACGAUACAGAGAAGAUUAGCAUGGCCCCUGAGCAAGGAUGACACGCAAAUUCGUGAAGCGUUAGGGUUAGGG